GAUGAACGCUGGCGGCGGGCCUAAUACAUGCAAGUCGAGCGACCAGACGAGGAGCUUGCGCCUCUGACGUUAGCGGCUGACGGGUGAGUAACACGUGGAUAACCUACCUAUAAGACUGGGAGAACUACGUAAGACCGGAUCUGAUACUGGAGAAUAUAUUGAACGGCAUGGUGCAAUAGUGAUUGACGGUUUUGCUGUCACUUAGAGACGAUGCCGCGCCGCAUUAGCUAGUUGGUAAGGUAACGGCUUACCAAGGCAACGAUGCGUAGCCGACCUGAUGGGGUGAUCGGCCACACUGGAACUGAGACACGGUCCAGACUCCUACGGGAGGCAGCAGUGGGGAAUAUUGCACAAUGGGCGCAAGCCUGACGCAGCCACACCGCGUGAGUGAUGAAGGUCUUCGGGUCGUAAAACCCUGUUAUUAGGAAAGAACAACUGUGUAAGUAACUCCCCACGUCUUGACGGUACCUAAUCAGAAAGCCACGGCUAACUACGUG
rnacentral:rRNA from 1 species